rnacentral:rRNA from 1 species
CUUGAACUCCUAUAAGAGGUCCAGCCUGCCCAGUGACUUUGUUCAACGGCCGCGGUAUCCUAACCGUGCGAAGGUAGCGUAAUCACUUGUCUUUUAAAUGGGGACUUGUAUGAAUGGCAUCACGAGGGUUAUACUGUCUCCUUUUUCUAAUCAGUGAAACUAAUCUCCCCGUGAAGAAGCGGGGAUAAUUUUAUAAGACGAGAAGACCCUAUGGAGCUUUAAACUUAAUAACAAAUACUAAUUCCAUUUUAACUUCCAGAACACUUACUUCAACUUUAGUAUUAUGAUUAUUAGUUUUAGGUUGGGGUGACCGCGGAGUAAAAAUUAACCUCCACAUUGAACAGGACCGACCCUUGAGCCAAGAGCUACAACCCUAAGCACCAACAAAUUGACAUUAAUUGACCCAAUAUUUUGAUCAACGAAC